UUGAUUAUGGCUCAGAUUGAACGCUGGCGGGAUGCUUUACUACGCCCGCAGUCCGGACCUGGACUUCGGUCUGGUGGCGAGUGGCGAACUGGAGGUGAUAAUGUGUCGGAACGACCCUGUGAAGAUGUGCGGCAUUAGCUAUUACCUGCACCUUCGGGGGAAAGCGGGGGACCUUCGGGCCUCGCGCAGAAACUGAUGAUGUCGGAUUCUGGCUGGAUUGGUGGGGUAACUGGCUCACACAGGCGACGAUCCGUAGCUGGUUUGAGAGGACGACCAGCCACACUGGAUGAGACGGCCCAGACUCUGCAAGGAGGCAGCAGUGGGGAAUUUUUGGACAAUAAGAGCUACAAUUCAACCAUCCCGCCGUAACAGUGACUGGGUUGCCGACCUUUGGCGAGAAAACGGCUGAAGAUGCCCCGUGCCACUGGCCGGCGACCUGCAAGAAUAAGCACCGGCUAACUACGACUGGCGAUAACCGUGAAGGUGCAAACAUUAAUCAGAUUACUGAAACUGGCGUGCGCAGGCGGUUCGGAAAGAAAGAUGUGAUCGACUUAACUGGGACUGCAUUUUAACUGCCGAGCUAGAGUGUGUCCAGAGGGAGGUGGAAUUCCGCGUGUAGCAGUGAAAUGCGUAGAUAUGCGGAGGAACACACCGAUGGCGAAGGCAGCCUCCUGGGAUAACACUGACGCUCAUGCCUGAAAGCGUGGGGAGCAAACGGGAUUAGAUACUACCUGGUAGUCCGCGCCCUAAACGAUGUCAACUAGCUGUUGGGGCCUUCGGGCCUUGGUAAAGCAACUAACGCGUGAAGUUGACCGCCUGGGGAAGGUACGGUCGCAAGAUUAAAACUCAAAGGAGUCGGCAGGGACCCGCACAAGCGGUGGAUGAUGUGGAUUAAUUCGAUGCAACGCGAAAAAUCUUACCUACCCUUGACAUGUCUGGAAUCCCGAAGAGAUUUGGGAGUGCUCGCAAGAGAACCGGAACACAGGUGCUGCAUGGCUGUCGUCAGCUCGUGUCGUGAGAUGUUGGGUUAAGUCCCGCAACGAGCGCAACCCUUGUCAUUAGUUGCUACGAAGGCACUCUAAUGAGACUGCCAGUGACAAACCGGAGGAAGGUGGGGAUGACGUCAGGUCUACUGUCGGCCCUUAUGGGUAGGGCUUCACGUCGCCGUGGUCGGGACCAGAGGGUCGCCAACCCGCGAGGGGAGCCAAUCCCAGAAACCCGAUCUCGAUCCGGAUCAUGAUCUGCGCUCAUUGCGCUGAAGUCAGGUCGCUAUUAAUCGCGGAUCAGCAUGUCGCGGUGAAUACGUUCCCGGGUCUUGUACACACCGCCCGUCACACCAUGGGAGUGGGUUUUGCAAGAAGUAGUUAGCCUAACCGUAGGAGGCGAUUACCACGGUAGGAUUCAUGACUGGGGUGAAGUCGUAACAAAGGUAG
rnacentral:rRNA from 1 species